UACGUAGGUGGCAAGCGUUGUCCGGAUUUACUGGGUGUAAAGGGCGUGCAGCCGGGCUGACAAGUCAGAUGUGAAAUCCCGCGGCUCAACCGCGGAACUGCAUUUGAAACUGUCAGUCUUGAGUACCGGAGAGGUCAUCGGAAUUCCUUGUGUAGCGGUGAAAUGCGUAGAUAUAAAGAAGAACACCAGUGGCGAAGGCGGAUGACUGGACGGCAACUGACGGUGAGGCGCGAAAGCGUGGGGAGCAAACAGG
rnacentral:rRNA from 1 species